rnacentral:lncRNA from 11 species
UCAAUGAACAGUUUAAUGUGACAGGCAAAGACAACACAAUGAGUAACUUAUCUUGCACGAUUUUUUUCCAGGUGGGGAUAAAAAGCAACUGGUUUCCUGGCCCUUGACAAUCUAUCUGAUUGACAGAAUGUUGGCACCAGCUUUGGAGGAAUCGAUCAGCCUCAACUCAAGCCCUCUGUCCUGAGACACAACAACAGGAUGUGCCUUGGAGAAGAGUCUCAGGGUGGAGAAUUCAGAACUGAAUCAAAAUCUACACACUCGGGGUAAGAUCAAUUACGCAUGUUAAAAUUUUGAUAUGGUGUGGCUAAUUAUUUUAGA